rnacentral:rRNA from 1 species
AUUGAACGCUGGCGGCAGGCCUAACACAUCCAAGUCGAACGGUAACAGGAAGCAGCUUGCUGCUUUGCUGACGAGAGGCGGACGGGUGAGGAAUGUCUGGGAAACUGCCCGAUGGAGGGGGAUAACUACUGGAAACGGUAGCUAAUACCGCAUAACGUCGCAAGACCAAAGAGGGGGACCUUAGGGCCUCUUGCCAUCGGAUGUGCCCAGAUGGGAUUCGCUAGUUGGUGGGGUAACGGCUCACCUAGGCGACGAGCCCUAGCUGGUCUGAGAGGAUGACCAGCCACACUGGAACUGAGACACGGUCCAGACUCCUACGGGAGGCAGCAGUGGGGACUAUUGCACAAUGGGCGCAAGCCUGAUGCAGCCAUGCCGCGUGUAUGAAGAAGGCCUUCGGGUUGUAAAGUACUUUCAGCGGGGAGGAAGGGAGUGAAGUUAAUACCUUUGCUCAUUGACGUUACCCGCAGAAGAAGCACCGGCUAACUCCGUG